UUCUCCGUAUCUCAAAACGCAGCGUUUGGAUAUCCUCCGUUCUUCUUCCUCUAUACAAUUUCCUUCGAUCCUUUCCCCAGUAAAACGCAGCAUUUUAGUUUAUCCGUUUCUUACCCUCUUCUUCCUCAAGACGCGGGAUUCUUCCAGAUUAGGGUUUCUUGCCAUUAGCUAAGGAGUUCGAAUCUUCAUAUGAUUCCUAGCCUGUGUUGCCUCAUUCAUUGACCUUCCAUGGACUCUACUCAAUUGGCCUCUAAAUCAAAGAAAAAAGGAAAAACCUGACAAGUACAAACCAUGAAGUUCCAUCUGUUUUCUAGAUGAGGAAGUGUUUCUUAUUGCAUUCCUUAUUGUCUUCCUGUCAUUGAUGAUGUGCUUGAGUGGCUCUUAGAGCUGUAUCCUGAAUGCUCUAGAUGAGGGUUGCUAAUCACAUCCUGCAAAAGAUCUCUCUGCAAUGGUUCAAACCUUAAACAAUAAUUCAAAACUAUUUAGUUUAAUAUGCACAUUUGGUUUGAUAUUGAGGAUUUCUAAGAACCAUGAUAAGUAUUAGGAUAGUUGAUGAAUGUUAUGCUGCUACAUUUGGUACACAUAGAGGGCUAUAAUCCAAAAAAUACAAAAAAAAAAAAGGAAGGAAAAUGCUUCCCAUCCCAUAGACCUAUGCCAGCAUUUUAAAUACUUCCCAAGUUAUUGGGCCACACCUUUGUCUAGGAGAUCUUCUAUAUGUGAUUCAUGGUAGGUUUUACUCAUCUAUCCCUUGGUAUGUCUGCCCUGUGUGCCAGGAAGAUGUCUGUACCCCCAAUACAUAACCAAGGUUUCCGGAUUGACUUCUUGCAUAAGUAAAUAAUUCCUGGUAAUUAUCAUAUAACUAAUGCUUAAGCAUUUUGUGAUUGGCAUCGCUACUGCAGUUUUUGAAAUUAUUCUCUAAGAGGUACUUUUUUUGUAACAUUUAAAAACAUUAAUUUUUUUUUCCCCAUAGCAUUUGAAUGAGUCUACUUUGUUUUCACACUAAUGUAGAAUAUGCUAUAUCCAGAUUUCUAGUUAACCUUUACUUUAUUGUUCUGUUAUUCUUUUGGUGAUUUUGAACAAGAUUUAGCCUGAGCUUUUUUGUUGGUACUUCAUGGUAGUGUUCUGCUAUUCUUUUGGUGAUUUAAAAUACUAUAUGAUAUGAGGUUUUUUGUGGUAUUGGUACUUCUAAAUGUUAAUGCAGAAUAUGUAAAUAUUAGGGUCCACAAAUGACCGUACUUUGUUUUUCUGCUGUUGUUUUGGUGAUUUACAUGAAUAUUUUAUGUGAGCCUUUGUAUGAAAAUGUGUCCUGAUGCCACCACAAAAAAUUCAUAUCUAACCAUCUAAUAUUUCAUUUAAACAUGCAACUGCUAGGAAGUCUGCAUUUUCUAACCAACCUGUGCCAUGGAAACUUGGCUGUGAAUAGGGGAAGGCCCGGAAGGGUCUGCCAUUCUGUCCCACAUUGUUUGGUUCAUGUUUUCUUCGGCAAGGUUCCUCAAUCUGUUAAGCUCUGGCAAGAUAACCUUACCCAGAUCUGGUCUGUCUUUCCGCCUUAGCUCUGCACAUUGAAGUGCCAUCUUUGCAAAGCUCAAGGCUUCUUCAACUGGCCAAUCAGGCACCGCCGGGUCCAAUAUCUCCUUGAAUGUUCCCUUCUCAAUGGCCUGCUCAACUUGGAUCAAUAUAGCAGAAGGUUCCAGCUGUUGAUGUCAUGUGACACCUCGUUUCAUUUUCAGCGACAGAACGGGGUACAAGCCUUGCCAAUCCUACAUCACUAAUCUUACUGACAUAGUUGUAGUCUAGCAAAAUGUUGCCAGGCUUGAGGUCGCGGUGCACUAGUGGCUCUGGCUUGGUCUGGUGGAGAAAGAGCAGGCCAGUGGCAAUCUCUGCAGAGAUUCGAAACCUGAGUUGCCAAGAGAGAGGAGUAAAAGGAAGUCUUCAAUAUGUAUGAUAAGGUGGGACAAAAGAGAAGCGCUUCACAAACUUUGCAAGAUGAAGAAUCCAUCACUGAAGCAAUAGAUUCAACACCCAGAAAUUCGGAGUUGUUCAGCUACUGCUUGGGUUUGGAUGUGGAGAUUGUACGAAAUCAUGUUUGAAGAUAAGAGGGGAAAUGUGAGGGGCUGUACGAGAAGCAUUUCUCACAGAAGAUAUCUUUCCUUUUGAGAUGACAUACACGGUGCAGAAAUCUGCUGCUCCUUUGGAUACACUGCCUGGAACAUCUGUGAUCUUGAAUCUUCUGUGUGGAAAAGAGUAAAUAAGCUGAGAGAAAUCAGAUUAGACUGUAAACAUCCAUCCAGCGGUGCUCAAUGAAGGAAAUAUUCUAUAAUCUGAAGAAUUGAAAGAGUAGAGCUCCAAAACCUACAUCUUUACGUCUACAAAAGCAAUGGAAGGUGACAAACAGAUCCUUUACAUUCUUGUCAAGAUUAUUUUGUCCCGAUACAAUUGCACUAUCAACAUCAUGAACAGGUGUAUAUUCCCCCACUGCACCCACAAAAGAAGGUCAUUGGCUACAAAUGUGAAUCGACAAAAUUAGCUGCAGGUGUAAGAACAGAUUCAAAAUCUUGCUAGACCGAUACAAAAUUUCUUAUUUGUUUAUCUUGUAACUUAGGCUUAUGCACGUAACUUUUAUUCUGUGAUUCCUUCUUACUGUUAAUGUAGAUACCUAAAUCAACCUGAUCUAUUUAAUCCUACCAUCAUUCUCUUAUUGGAGUAA